UAUUAGCCCCGAUAAUAGCGGUAUCCUUUUACGCCGGGGUUCGGCGUAAAAUAUUGAAGCGGAUAGCGGGAAAAGCU
rnacentral:sRNA from 2 species